rnacentral:rRNA from 1 species
UACGGGGGGAGCAAGCGUUGUUUGGAUUUACUGGGCGUAAAGGGCGCGUAGGCGGUAGCACAAGUCAGUUGUGAAAUCUCCGGGCUUAACUCGGAAAGGUCAACUGAUACUGUGCGACUAGAGUGCAGAAGGGGCAACUGGAAUUCUCGGUGUAGCGGUGAAAUGCGUAGAUAUCGAGAGGAACACCUGCGGCGAAGGCGGGUUGCUGGGCUGACACUGACGCUGAGGCGCGAAAGCCAGGGGAGCGAACGGG